GGCUAUGUAGCUCAGUUGGUUAGAGCANGGUCACAAGUUCAAGUCUCGUCAUAGCCACCA
rnacentral:tRNA from 1 species